CAAUAGCGUAUAUUAAAGUUGUUGCAGUUAAAAAGCUCGUAGUUGGAUUUGUGGCGUACGGUGUGUUCCGGGCACUUGUUGUCUGAGUAACCUGCUGUUGCCAUCCUUGGGUGGAACCUGUGUGGCAUUAGGUUGUCGUGCAGGGGAUGCCCAUCAUUUACUGUGAAAAAAUUAGAGUGUUCAAAGCAGGCCUAUGCCGUUGAAUAUAUUAGCAUGGAAUAAUGAGAUAGGACUUUUUUGCUAUUUUGUUGGUUUGCGCAAAGAGGUAAUGAUUAAUAGGGACAGUUGGGGGUAUUCGUAUUCCAUUGUCAGAGGUGAAAUUCUUGGAUUUUUGGAAGACGAACUACUGCGAAAGCAUUUACCAAGGAUGUUUUCAUUAA
rnacentral:rRNA from 1 species